rnacentral:rRNA from 1 species
UACGUAGGGGACUAGCGUUGUUCGGAAUUACUGGGCGUAAAGAGCACGUAGGCGGACUGUUAAGACAGGGGUGAAAUUCCAGAGCUCAACUCUGGAACUGCCUUUGAUACUGGCAAUCUCGAGUUCGGAAGAGGUGAGUGGAAUUCCUAGUGUAGAGGUGAAAUGCGUAGAUAUCAGGAAGAACACCAGUGGCGAAGGCGGCUCACUGGGCCGACACUGACGAUGAGGCGCGAAAGCGUGGGGAGCAAACAGG